rnacentral:rRNA from 1 species
AGCUACAGGCUUAACACAUGCAAGUCGAGGGGCAGCAUGGUCUUAGCUUGCUAAGGCCGAUGGCGACCGGCGCACGGGUGAGUAACACGUAUCCAACCUGCCGUCUACUCUUGGACAGCCUUCUGAAAGGAAGAUUAAUACAAGAUGGCAUCAUGAGUCCGCAUGUUCACAUGAUUAAAGGUAUUCCGGUAGACGAUGGGGAUGCGUUCCAUUAGAUAGUAGGCGGGGUAACGGCCCACCUAGUCUUCGAUGGAUAGGGGUUCUGAGAGGAAGGUCCCCCACAUUGGAACUGAGACACGGUCCAAACUCCUACGGGAGGCAGCAGUGAGGAAUAUUGGUCAAUGGGCGAGAGCCUGAACCAGCCAAGUAGCGUGAAGGAUGACUGCCCUAUGGGUUGUAAACUUCUUUUAUAAAGGAAUAAAGUCGGGUAUGCAUACCCGUUUGCAUGUACUUUAUGAAUAAGGAUCGGCUAACUCCGUGCCAGCAGCCGCGGUAAUACGGAGGAUCCGAGCGUUAUCCGGAUUUAUUGGGUUUAAAGGGAGCGUAGAUGGAUGUUUAAGUCAGUUGUGAAAGUUUGCGGCUCAACCGUAAAAUUGCAGUUGAUACUGGAUAUCUUGAGUGCAGUUGAGGCAGGCGGAAUUCGUGGUGUAGCGGUGAAAUGCUUAGAUAUCACGAAGAACUCCGAUUGCGAAGGCAGCCUGCUAAGCUGCAACUGACAUUGAGGCUCGAAAGUGUGGGUAUCAAACAGGAUUAGAUACCCUGGUAGUCCACACGGUAAACGAUGAAUACUCGCUGUUUGCGAUAUACAGCAAGCGGCCAAGCGAAAGCGUUAAGUAUUCCACCUGGGGAGUACGCCGGCAACGGUGAAACUCAAAGGAAUUGACGGGGGCCCGCACAAGCGGAGGAACAUGUGGUUUAAUUCGAUGAUACGCGAGGAACCUUACCCGGGCUUAAAUUGCAGAUGAAUUACGGUGAAAGCCGUAAGCCGCAAGGCAUCUGUGAAGGUGCUGCAUGGUUGUCGUCAGCUCGUGCCGUGAGGUGUCGGCUUAAGUGCCAUAACGAGCGCAACCCUUGUUGUCAGUUACUAACAGGUUCCGCUGAGGACUCUGACAAGACUGCCAUCGUAAGAUGUGAGGAAGGUGGGGAUGACGUCAAAUCAGCACGGCCCUUACGUCCGGGGCUACACACGUGUUACAAUGGGGGGGUACAGAGGGCCGCUACCACGCGAGUGGAUGCCAAUCCCAAAAACCUCUCUCAGUUCGGACUGGAGUCUGCAACCCGACUCCACGAAGCUGGAUUCGCUAGUAAUCGCGCAUCAGCCACGGCGCGGUGAAUACGUUCCCGGGCCUUGUACACACCGCCCGUCAAGCCAUGGGAGCCGGGGGUACCUGAAGUGCGUAACCGCGAGGAGCGCCCUAGGGUAAAACUGGUGACUGGGGCUAAGUCAUAACAAG